GACGAACGCUGGCGGCGUGCUUAACACAUGCAAGUCGAACGGGCCUGUCUUCUUUUUUGGGGGUGGUUGAGUGGCGAACGGGUGAGUAUCACGUGAGUAACCUGCCCUUCGGUCCUGGAUAACCGCUUGAAAGGGCGGCUAAUACGGGGUGGUCCGGUUGGUCCGCAUGGGCUGGUCGGGAUAGAUUCACUGUUUUUGGUGUUUCGGCGGGGGAUGGGCUCGCGGCCUAUCAGCUUGUUGGUGGGGUGAUGGCCUACCAAGGCGGUGACGGGUAGCCGGCCUGAGAGGGUGGGCGGCCACACUGGGACUGAGAUACGGCCCAGACUCCUGCGGGAGGCAGCAGUGGGGGGUAUUGCACAAUGGGCGGAAGCCUGAUGCAGCGACGUCGCGUGAGGGAUGGAGGCCUUCGGGUUGUGAACCUCUGUUUCCGGUGGUGAAGGCCCUGUCCGUGUGGUGGGGUUGACGGUAGCCGGGGAUGAAGCGCCGGCUAACUACGUG
rnacentral:rRNA from 1 species